rnacentral:rRNA from 1 species
UGGGGAAUUUUGGACAAUGGGCGAAAGCCUGAUCCAGCCAUGCCGCGUGAGUGAAGAAGGCCUUCGGGUUGUAAAGCUCUUUUAGUCGGAAAGAAAGAGUUGCAAUGAAUAAUUGUGAUUUAUGACGGUACCGACAGAAAAAGCACCGGCUAACUACGUGCCAGCAGCCGCGGUAAUACGUAGGGUGCGAGCGUUAAUCGGAAUUACUGGGCGUAAAGGGUGCGCAGGCGGUCUUGCAGGUCAGAUGUGAAAGCCCCGGGCUUAACCUGGGAAUUGCGUUUGAAACUACAAGACUAGAGUGCAGCAGAGGGGAGUGGAAUUCCAUGUGUAGCAGUGAAAUGCGUAGAGAUGUGGAAGAACACCGAUGGCGAAGGCAGCUCCCUGGGUUGACACUGACGCUCAUGCACGAAAGCGUGGGGAGCAAACA